rnacentral:sRNA from 1 species
ACCUCUAUAGCGCCACCAACGUCGACAACAUCGAUAACCCGACCGACAAGUUCGCUGAUCAAUGGGAACGAGUUGUGCAAUGACACGGAAAGGCGGAGCAACAGUAUAGCAGCUUUGAGACUACGAGCAAAAGAACACUGUGCAGCACUCGAACAUCACACGGCAACAGCUUCAAAUAUUAUAGGUGCUUACGGAAAAUAGCCAAUACAUACGAGAUUCGAACUCUGUGAUUGUCCCGGUGCUGUAACUGAUCUUUUGAACUAUUGUCCUUCACUUCAAGAUGUUGAAGGAGGCAGAUUGAAACAAUGUCUAAUAUUGAGUAGACUCGAGUUCUAAAUGACCAGAAUAAAUUAAUUGGACCAAAGUAAUACCCCCACACCAGGAACAGUUGAGACCAGAGUACCAUCGACACAACGGGUGGUAUUGCAGCCAUUUUUUUUAAUAAGCUAGAUGUAUAUAAUUGAAUUCAAUAUAAUUAUUAUUCUUUCUAAAAUAUUUAAAGCUUGCCGUUCGUAUGUAGCAAUACAUCCCUGACACGAUAAACGGAAUCAUGUAGCAAUACAAUCCCCGACACUGUAGAUGGAGUCAUGUAGCAAUACAUCCCCGACAAGAUAAACGGAAUCAUGUAGCAAUACAACCCCGACACGAUAGACGGAAUCAUGUAGCAAUACAACCCCGACACGUAGAACAGGAAUCAUGUAGCAAUACAUCCCUG